AUCCUGCUGACGAGUCUCAAAUAGGACGAAACGCGCGUCCUGGAC
rnacentral:hammerhead_ribozyme from 1 species